rnacentral:hammerhead_ribozyme from 1 species
AUCCAGCUGACGAGUCCUAAAUAGGACGAAACACCCAUCCUGUAU